ensembl:lncRNA
CCUCCCGUUGCAGAUUAUGCUAAUUUCCAGAAGCCUCCCACGCUGACGGUGGGUCAUCCCACCUCAGCACAGUGAGAAAAGUCUCUCACAGCCAAGCCCAUCCUAAUCUAGACAAUUACUCACUCGGUGAGACUUUCUCCCCAGGUGACUCCACCUUGUGUCAAUCAAAACUAACAUCACAGGUGCCAUCCAGAGACUUUGCAGAGACUAGAGGGCGCUGCAAGUCUGAGGAGAACAUUAGGGGGCGCUGCAAGUCUGAGGAGAACGUUAGAGGGUAGCGCACAUCUGCAGCAGCUAUGGGAUUUGUAUUACAGCACAUCUCCUUUAAUGCCCAUGAACUAUGGAGGAAACUUUCUUUGGGAUAUAAUUCUAAAUAUUGUCCUCUUCUAAACUUCAGUCCUGAUCCCUUAGAGGUUUAUGGGUUGCCUGUAGUCAAAUUUGUAACUGACAAUGUUUCCUGGUUGCUUUGCAGCUAGAAUUUCUAGAAAAAUGAUGUCUAAAGUUUGGCAAAUGUAUCUAAUUAGCAUAAUUUCAAACACGAGUUAUGCCUUCGUCUGUUUUUCUGGCUUCUGCAUUUACCUGGGCCUUUGUAUAUUUCUUUUCAUCCCCACUGCUUUUCUGUAGACAUGUGAUCUUUUCUGUGAAUUCGUGAUCCUGUAGAGUAAUGACUAAGCCUUGACCACCAGCAAGUGCACCUGUGCCAGUUGCUAACCUUAGUACACAGAGUCACAGAAUCAGAAAACAGCGUCACAAUCCAUUUAGAAAUGAGAGAGAUGGUUUUUCAUGUCACUGGGAAACCAGAGUAAACAAUUCUGGCUUUCUGGUUUCCCAAAUGGAAACCUCUAGGAAAAGAAAACAACUAAAGCACACUGAGAAAUACCCGGCCCCUCACUUCCCAACCUGAAUCCUUCUAUUCAAGAUGUUACCCUAUAACUAUCAACCACCAUUCAGGACCUCUGGAAGACAUGUCUCGCGUCAUAACCAAGUCUGAGCCUUCUUGUAACUACAUUAGUUAUGUGGAUUGCAGAAGACAUGAAACUUUCAGGCAAACCCAAGAAAUGGAAUGAUAGCUUCAACUUUCUCUUCAAGUCUUGAGCCAUCACGUGACGCAUCAAACUGGAGAGAAGGCCCAGAGAGCUACCAAUUGCUCAUCCACCUAAAAGUCUCCCACCUGAGUUAUCUUUGGCCACACAGAACAGCUAUUCAUAUCACAAAACGAAACCGCUACCACACAAGCAAAACAUGCUUUGGGACUCUGCAUCUUCCAAUCCCUUUCAUUGCUCAGAACUACAGUGUCCCAUUAUCUGAAAACACCUCAAUAUUAACACACUACUGCUGGUGGCAUGCACCACCUUACUUUGACUAUUAAGAAGAAAUGGUGUUAUACACAUAUUUGUAUAUGUAUUGUGGCCUGGUUUCUAGAGCUAGUUAUCAACUUGACACAAUCUAGAUUACCUAAGAGGCACACCUAAGGCGGAGUUCCUCAUUUAUGCAAACCGAGGUGUGAAGACUUGUCUACUGGGAGUGGUGCCAUUUCCUGUCUACUAAAAUGUGCAGGAAAAGGCGAUGCCUUGCAGCAAGCAUUCAUGGCCUGCUCUAGACUGCAGACAGCAUAUAAACAGCUGCUGCCUGCUUCUGCCUCCUCUUUCCCCUCUGCAAUAUAAUGGACUAUACCCUGAGCUGGGAACCAGAAUAAACUCUUCUGUUAUAAAUAGCUUUUAAAUUUUAUUUUUUUCAUGUGGUGUGUGUGUGUGUGUGUUUGU